AAGCACUGAAGAAGAACUGUUGUCUGGUAUCCAACACAAGGAAUGAAGGACUGUUUUUUUUGGCUGGCUUGGCUCACGGUGCUAUUGAAGCAAGAAGAUGAAGCAGCGUCCUGUGAAACAGCAGAGGUGGGAGCAGUGUCCUGAGGAAGGAAGCUGAAAUGUGAAUAGGCCUCUCAUCCCAUAUAAAUUGUCUCUUGGCAGGGCUGUGAAGGUAAGUUUGCAUUUAUGUUAACCCUGUUUUUCUUAGGUGGAUUUAUAUGAGGCUACAGUCUUUAGG
rnacentral:lncRNA from 1 species